rnacentral:rRNA from 1 species
GACGAACGCUGGCGGCGUGCUUAACACAUGCAAGUCGAGCGGUAAGGCCCUUUCGGGGGUACGACGAGCGGCGAACGGGUGAGUAACACGUGGGUGACCUGCCCUCCAGCUCUGGGAGUAAAGCCUGGGAAACCGGGGUACUAAUACUGGAUAUGACUCCAUGACGCAUGUUGUGGGGUGGAAAGACCUUGUGCGGCUGAGGAUGGGCCCGCGGCCUAUCAGCUUGUUGGUGGGGUGAGGCCGUACCAAGGCGACGACGGGUAGCCGGCCUGAGAGGGCGACCGGCCACACUGGGACUGAGACACGGCCCAGACUCCUACGGGAGGGCAGCAGUGGGGAAGUCUUGCGCAAUGGGCGAAAGCCUGACGCAGCGACGCCGCGUGAGGGAUGACGGCCUCGGUGUAACGUACUUA